rnacentral:rRNA from 1 species
GCAGCUGAUGCAGCGAUGCCGCGUGAGUGAUGAAGGCCUUCGGGUUGUAAAGCUCUUUCGUCGGGGACGAUAAUGACGGUACCUGUAGAAGAAGCUCCGGCUAACUCCGUGCCAGCAGCCGCGGUAAUACUUAGGCAGCUAGCGUUGUUCGGUAUUACUGGGCGUAAAGUGUGUGUAAGCGGUUUUGCAAGUCGGGUGUGAAAUCCCCCGGCUUAACUGGGGAGGUGCCCCCCAGACUGAACCUCUGGAGUGCGGGAGAGGCUAGUGGAAUUCCGGGUGUAGAGGUGAAAUGCGUAGAUAUGUGGAGGAACACCAGUGGCGAAGGCGGCUAACUGGACCGUUACUGACGCUGAGACCCGAAAGCGUGGGUAGCAAACAGGAUUAGAUACCCUGGUAGUCCACGCCAUAAACUAUG